rnacentral:tRNA from 1 species
GGCCCGUUGGUCAAGCGGUUAAGACACCGCCCUUUCACGGCGGUAACACGGGUUCGAAUCCCGUACGGGUCAUCAAG